ACCCACCAACAGCACUGGCGCAAGGCAUCAGAGUUGAGCCUGAGAAGAACAAUGUCCAGGCCACUGACAGAUGCCCACCAACAAUGUCAGUGAGGACCAUCGAGGUGCGAAAUAAGAUGAUUCAUGUCCAGGUCAUGAGCAGACGCCCACUCAUAAAAGAAAAUGGGGGCAGACCAUCAAGGGACAGCCUGAGAAGGAUGAUGUUCAGCCGUGGAUGGAGUUGAGAGGAGUGACUGUGGACUUACCACAGAGUUACAAAUCUUCAGCCAGAAGAAUGUUAGCUGCUGACGGGAGGAUUUUGCCUGGGAGCGCUGGGUGGCUGCAGUCGUGCAGACAGAAUCCUGUCGUACCAUCUAGUGGCCUGCUGGGAUAGCGCACCCUGUGGAAAUUGCCCUUCCUCUGAAUGAAGCAGUUAUUGUUGAUACGUUUAUUUUUUAAUUAUUGGAAUUAAAAUUGUGAAUUAUUUAAUUGUUAAAAUUAAACCUGUGAAACUUUUAAUUAUUAAAAUUACUUGUGAAAC